GACGAACGCUGGCGGCGUGCUUAACACAUGCAAGUCGAACGGAAAUGCCCUGCUUUUGUGGGGUGUUCGAGUGGCGAACGGGUGAGUAACACGUGAGUAACCUGCCCUUGACUUUGGGAUAACUUCAGGAAACUGGGGCUAAUACCGGAUAGGAGCUCCUGCUGCAUGGUGGGGGUUGGAAAGUUUCGGCGGUUGGGGAUGGACUCGCGGCUUAUCAGCUUGUUGGUGGGGUAGUGGCUUACCAAGGCUUUGACGGGUAGCCGGCCUGAGAGGGUGACCGGCCACAUUGGGACUGAGAUACGGCCCAGACUCCUACGGGAGGCAGCAGUGGGGAAUAUUGCACAAUGGGCGGAAGCCUGAUGCAGCAACGCCGCGUGCGGGAUGACGGCCUUCGGGUUGUAAACCGCUUUCGCCGGUGACGAAGCGUGAGUGACGGUAAUGGGUAAAGAAGCACCGGCUAACUACGUG
rnacentral:rRNA from 1 species